rnacentral:lncRNA from 1 species
CCAGAAUAGUAGUUGAAUCAACUUAAAUUAUUGUUUUAUACAAUAUACAAUGUAUAUUCACUUUUACUACCAACUGAUAAAUUAAAACAUCUUUACCAUUCAGUGAUAACAAGCACUUUAUUUUACAUUUUAAUAUUUUAUGAUGUAUUUAAAUGAGUAGUUAUUGUUGCAAACUCCAUUAGAAAUUUGAAUUGAGAUCAGUUUUGAAAAAAGGGAAAGGGGGAUGUGAAAAAAAAAAUGGUGGGGGGGGGGUUUAAAUUUUUCUCAUUUCAGAUUUCAUAAAUAAAAAGAAAAUUUCUUCAAACAUUUUUUUGAGAGGAUUAAUAUUCAACAGCAUAGUGAUUGCUCAAAGACAAAAAAAAUAUUUUAAGUUCAUUAGACCACAUUCAUUCUGUGUCCAAAACCUAUGCUGUGUCAACUAUUUUAAUCACAAUCCAAAUUUAGAGCUGAAUCCAGCUUGAAUGUUGUGUCCAUACUUGCCC